rnacentral:rRNA from 1 species
GAACCSCAUGGUUCAAUUAUWAAAAGGUGGSUUUUAGCUACCACUUACAGAUGGACCCGCGGCGCAUUAGCUAGUUGGUGAGGUAACGGCUCACCAAGGCRACGAUGCGUAGCCGACCUGAGAGGGUGAUCGGCCACACUGGGACUGAGACACGGCCCAGACUCCUACGGGAGGCAGCAGUAGGGAAUCUUCCGCAAUGGACGAAAGUCUGACGGAGCAACGCCGCGUGAGUGAUGAAGGUUUUCGGAUCGUAAAACUCUGUUGUUAGGGAAGAACAAGUACCGUUCGAAUAGGGCGGUACCUUGACGGUACCUAACCAGAAAGCCACGGCUAACUUACGUGCCAGCAGSMGCGGUAAUACKUAGKUKGCAAAGSUU